AGAAGUGCUUGUUUCCUCUUCGCUUUUCACCACGAAUAUUUUUCCUGAGGCCUCCCAGUCAUGCUUCCCGUUAUGCCUGCAGAACUGCAUUUAUGAAGUAGGGACCUGGAAUUGAAUAGACUCCUAAAGGAGAGACAGAAGUUUGAAAGAGCAAGAUGAGUGGAUGUGAAUCCAGACAUAAAAAGAGAACAGCAAAUAUUUGAAAGAGUUUAAGACAUACUCCUCAAGGGGUUUCUCCUUUUGCUUCUUUCUCAUUUCUCUUGCUGCCACCAUGUAAGAGGUGCCUUUUGCCUCCUGCCAUGAUUCUGAGGCCAUGUGGAACUGUACCACAGAUAGAAGCCUCGAGAAGCUUACUUUGGUGAGAAAUUUUGCCUUUCUCUGCAGGCUUCUACCAGUUCGAUUCCAUCUGUGGGUCUUAGUUUUCAGUUACCUGCAGUCAAAUGUGGUCCAAUAUACAGACUGGAAUAAGAGACACUGGAGACUCCAAAAGAAUAUUUUCUGGUAGACUGAUACAUUUCUCCUAAAAAAUUUGGAAAAAUUUUGUGAUGAAGAAGCUACCUGGGCCUGAAGAUAUCUUUUCUGGACAAAGUAAAUGAAUGAUUGAAGACCUGCAAAUUGUGUUUGUAACGACUUUCUAAGAUUGAUAGCCUCCAUGUUUCAAUGCUCAUGGAGCAGAUGGAUAUGACUGACACUGCCCUUAAUACUACAGCAUGAUCCAAAGCAUCACCAAAGUCUUCAAAGAGAAAGUAAAAAAAAAAAAAAAAAAAAAAAAAAAAGCC
rnacentral:lncRNA from 1 species